CCUACAUGUCAAUGGCAAUACCACUCUCGUUUGGAAAAUUACCCAAGGACCAGUGUCCCAGCCAGGGGUCAGCUUCCAGACCAGACAUGGGUGAUCGAUUUGUGCCGACCCAGGCCAGGCCUGGGUGCAGAAGUACAUCAAAUACCUGACCAAAAGUCCAAGGGAGCUGGGAGCAGUGGGACCUUCACAGUCGAGGGAUCAUGAGAAGAGGCCACAGAGCCACCUUCCCUCCCCAACCAGCUCCCUCAGCCCAGAUGGGCCCUGGACAAGUCCUGGCCUGAAUGAAAGCCCGUGUGUGUGUCUCCCUGCUCCUGCUCUGAUGGUCUGCGCUCUCCUGAAGCUUUGCUGUGAAGCUCCGCCUCCUGGGGCCAGAGGAGACUGUGGCCCUCGGAAAGCAUCUGUCGUCUCCUUGCAGGCGCUCAGGUCUUGAAAUAAAUCUGUGCUGCAGAAAGGGA